rnacentral:misc_RNA from 1 species
UGUCAAAGCUCGUUUCUUCAGCCGAUCAGCAGAACAGAAAAUCAAGAAAGUUGGAGGAUGCUGUGUUCUGACAGCAUAAACAAUGUAUAGAUGUGGUCAAGCUUUCAUUAUCAAUAAAAGUAAUGAAAGUAU